AACCAGUGUCCGGACCGCCUGCUGGGAAGGGAAGGAGCAGCACCAACUGCUGAGUACCCCCCUCUGGUCCCCACUCCCUGCACCUUACCUCCCCAGUCGAUCCGGGGGCGGCCCCUCCCCGCUGACGGAGAACCAGAAAGAAGGGCGGGGGAGAGAUGGAGGUUUUUACAGCAUGACAUCAAGGAAGAAGAAAUGGCUAUGAUAUAUAUUACCUAAAAAUCUGGAAAGCCUGGAUUCAAUUUGUGAUUUUAUGACAUUCUAGCUGUAGAACAUUUGGACUGAGAAUUUCCUUACCCCACUGAGAGAUACUGAGAGGACAGAGGAAGGAGGACCUUGCAAAAACAAAUGGUGUGGCCCAGAAAGUCUCUGGUUCACCUUCUCAGAGACCCAAGGAAAUCAUGAGACAUGGGUAAGGAGAUCCCACUCCAACAAGGGUCCUGGUCCAAAAAGUUUCUCCUUCCUAGGUAAGGCAGACCCUUCCAAGACAAAUACCAAGCCAGAGAACCCUCCUCCCCACCACAGGCCUCACACUCUCUUCCCCUGCUGGGGUACAAAGUGUCAAGAAGGUACCAUUGACAGGAAGAGCCAGCCACAGUAGAUGAUCAUUCCCAGAAAGUCUCUUUGCCCUCAUGGGCCUAAAAACACCCACCUACACCAGAGACACAGGGACAGCCGGAAGACCUUGUUAGGAAUUCUUGGAAACCAUUAAUAUUAUUAAGGAAACCUCUUCUUCCCAGGGGACCUGGGACUCACUUUUCCCACUGAAAGACACUGGCCAAGGAAAUCCCUUCUGCAACUGUAGCCAUUGCUGUCAUGGACAAGUAGGAGGUGAGUAUCACAUAAACUGAGAAAAACAAAAUAACACAGCAGAGGCUCUGAAAAUAUGCUGUCAUUGAAAGCACACUCCAGAAAAGUAGACCAGAAUCUGCAUACUGAAUAUGAACAGAAUGAAGACCUGAUGAAAUUAAGAAAUAAAUAGACCCAGAGUCUGCUGGCAUAAUACAAGAAUAUUCAGGAUACAAUUGAAAAUCAAUGGUCAUACUAAGAAUAUAGAAAACUACAACUUGAAUGAGUAGAGACAAUCAACUGAUACCAACACCAAGACAAAUCAGAUGUAGUUAAUUGCUGAAUUAUCUGAUAAGGAUUUCAAAGUACAUAUCAUAACAAUAUUGCAGCAGGGCAUUACAAAGUUUCCCGAAACAAAUGGAAAAUAGAAAAUUUUUGAAAUGAAAUAAAAGUUAUUUAAAAAAUCAAAAUUAUAGGAAGAUAUAGUAACAGAAAAAAAACUGGGAUGAGCUGUAAGCGAAAGAAGUCACUGAACUUGAGGAAAGAUCACAGUAUUUACCUGUUGUGAACAAGAGAGAAAACAGAUUUUUUUUAAGAGCCUCAGUCUCCCAUGGGACAAUAACAAAAUAUAUAAAGAUUUGCAUCUUUGUAGCCCCACAAGAGAGAAGGGCUGAAAGACUAUACG
rnacentral:lncRNA from 1 species